GUUCGCUUUGGCAGCACAUGUACUAAAAUAGGAAUGAUACAGAGAAGAUCAGCAUGGCCCCUGUGCAAGGAGGACAUGCAAAAAAUUAAGCAUGAGAAAUUUUA